rnacentral:lncRNA from 1 species
AAUGCCUGAAAAAAAAAUAUUAUGUUUUUUACAUUCAUGCAAGAUUGUGAUAAAAAUAAAGUGUAUAAAUAAUUAAUUCUUAAGUUUUGUUCUCGCCUGUCAAAUUGAAGGACAUAGUGAUCCUAGCUUCUAUCAUUGGCGGUAUUUGAAACUGUUUUUCUUUCAUUUUAAAGUAUUUUACUGGUAAAUUAACUUAUUUUUACAGUUGACAAUUAAGUACAGUCUAAGUUUAUUGUUUGUUUCAUUUCAAUUACUUUGUCAAACUUUCAUUAUUAUGAAACUUUGACAGGAG